GUGUAACACAACGAUGAAGUUGCUCUGAAUUUGCUGUGAAGGGAGAUGUUUAUGAAGACAUAUUGUGACCUUACAAGGAAGCAAACAGUACGGGGACUUCAAGACAGAAUAACAUUGGCAUUGUAGUGUGUAAUUGUGGGCUAUUCUUUGGGUUCUGAAAUCAGUUUUUUUAUUUAAAAAAAUGUGACGUCGGAGUUCCAGUCCGCCAGCUAAAAACACAAACCUUCCUACCUACCACAGCCAUCCUACAGGACUUGAAACAACUACUAAGCCUCCACUCCAAUCCCUCCAUUCAAACCCCUAAUGUGCCUCUGUAUUCCUGUUUUCUCAGUGUAGUAAAUAUCCAAUACUGAAACCCUUUUGAUUUCAUUGCAUUCUCACUGAUGCAGUACUACCCUGAACCAAUGAAAUAAAACUAAGUGUACUGAA